rnacentral:rRNA from 1 species
UAAAACCAGCACCUCAAGUGGUCAGGAUGAUUAUUGGGCCUAAAGCAUCCGUAGCCUGCUCUGUAAGUUUUCGGUUAAAUCUGUAUGCUCAACAUACAGGCCGCCGGGAAUACUGCAGGGCUAGGGAGUGGGAGAGGUAGACGGUACUCGGGAGGAAGUGGUAAAAUGCUUUGAUCUCUCGAUGACCACCUGUGGCGAAGGCGGUCUACCAGAACACGUCCGACGGUGAGGGAUGAAAGCUGGGGGAGCAAACCGGAUUAGAUACCCGGGUAGUCCCAGCCGUAAACUAUGCAAACUCAGUGAUGCAUUGGCUUGUGGCCAAUGCAGUGUUGCAGGGAAGCCGUUAAGUUUGCCGCCUGGGAAGUACGUACGCAAGUAUG